UACGUAGGGGGCAAGCGUUAUCCGGAUUUACUGGGUGUAAAGGGAGCGUAGACGGCAGAGCAAGUCCGGAGUGAAAGCCCGGGGCCCAACCCCGGGACUGCCCUUGGAACUGCAUGGCUGGAGUGCGGGAGGGGCAGGCGGAAUUCCUGGUGUAGCGGUGAAAUGCGUAGAUAUCAGGAGGAACACCGGCGGCGAAGGCGGCCUGCUGGACCGCGACUGACGUUGAGGCUCGAAAGCGUGGGGAGCGAACAGG
rnacentral:rRNA from 1 species